CGUGAGAAAAUUAACCCGCUCAUUCCCGCGAACGCGGGAAUCCAGCACUCGACAAGUCUGGGUCCCCGCUUUCGCGGGGACGAGCGGAACCGGAAUCUUGUUCUAGAACCGUGUCACGAUAUCGCUGAGCGCGGGGCGGGGCCGGUCGUCGGUGGGCCGCUCGGACUUGCCGAUGUGAAUGAAGCCCGCGAUCUUCUCGUCCUCGUUCAGGCCGAGUGCAUUGAGCACAUCGCGGUCGAACGCCAUCCAGCCGGUCAGCCAGUUCGCGACAUAGCCGAGGGCGUGCGCGGCAUGGACGAUGUUCAUGGCGCUGGCGCCGGCCGACAGUUCCUGCUCCCACGGCGGCACCUUGGGAUGCUUCGACGUCUUGCUCACCACGCCGAUGACGAGCGGAGCAUGGGUGAAACGCUUCUUCUCGGUCUCGACCUGAUCCGGCGUCGCGGUGACAUUCUUGGCGCGGAACA
rnacentral:misc_RNA from 1 species